AACGAACGCUGGCGGCAUGCCUAACAUAUGCAAGUCGAACGAGACCUUCGGGUCUAGUGGCGCACGGGUGCGUAACGCGUGGGAACCUGCCCUUAGGUUCGGAAUAACUCCCCGAAAGGGGUGCUAAUACCGGAUAAUGUCUUCGGACCAAAGAUUUAUCGCCUUUGGAUGGGCCCGCGUUGGAUUAGCUAGUUGGUAGGGUAAAAGCCUACCAAGGCGACGAUCCAUAGCUGGUCUGAGAGGAUGAUCAGCCACACUGGGACUGAGACACGGCCCAGACUCCUACGGGAGGCAGCAGUGGGGAAUUUUGGACAAUGGGCGAAAGCCUGAUCCAGCAAUGCCGCGUGAGUGAUGAAGGCCUUAGGGUUGUAAAGCUCUUUUACCCGGGAUGAUAAUGACAGUACCGGGAGAAUAAGCUCCGGCUAACUCCGUG
rnacentral:rRNA from 1 species